rnacentral:rRNA from 1 species
AUUGAACGCUGGCGGCAGGCCUAACACAUGCAAGUCGAGCGGUAGCAGGACCAGCUUGCUGGUUGCUGACGAGCGGCGGACGGGUGCGUAACACGUAGGAAUCUGCCCGGUAGUGGGGGAUAGCCCGGAGAAAUCCGGAUUAAUACCGCAUACGCCCUAAGGGGGAAAGCAGGGGAUUUGUUCUUUUAGGAGAAUGAACCUUGAGCUAUCGGAUGAGCCUGCGUCGGAUUAGCUUGUUGGUGAGGUAAAGGCUUACCAAGGCGACGAUCCGUAGCUGGUCUGAGAGGAUGAUCAGCCACACUGGGACUGAGACACGGCCCAGACUCCUACGGGAGGCAGCAGUGGGGAAUAUUGCACAAUGGGCGAAAGCCUGAUGCAGCCAUGCCGCGUGUGUGAAGAAGGCCCUAGGGUUGUAAAGCACUUUCAGCGAGGAGGAAAGGAUAGUUGUUAAUACCGGCUAUCUGUGACGUUACUCGCAGAAGAAGCACCGGCUAACUCCGUGCCAGCAGCCGCGGUAAUACGGAGGGUGCGAGCGUUAAUCGGAAUUACUGGGCGUAAAGCGUGCGUAGGCGGCUAAUUAAGUGGGAUGUGAAAGCCCCGGGCUCAACCCGGGAACUGCAUCCCAAACUGGGUAGCUGGAGUAC